CCUACGGGGGGCAUCAGUGAUGAAUAUUGGUCAAUGGACGAGAGUCUGAACCAGCCAAGUAGCGUGAAGGAUGACUGCCCUAUGGUUUGUAAAAUUCUUUUAUAUGGGAAUAAAAUGUUCCAUGUGUGUGAUUUUGUAUGUACCAUAUGAAUAAGGAUCGGCUAACUCCGUGCCAGCAGCCGCGGUACUACGGAGGAUCCGAGCGUUAUCCGGAUUUAUUGGGUUUAAAGGGAGCGUAGGUGGAUUGUUAAGUCAGUUGUGAAAGUUUGCGGCUCAACCGUAAAAUUGCAGUUGAAACUGGCAGUCGUGAGUACAGUAGAGGUGGGCGGAAUUCGUGGUGUAGCGGUGAAAUGCUGAGAUAUCACGAAGAACUCCGAUUGCGAAGGCAGCUCACUGGACUGCAACUGACACUGAGGCUCGAAAGUGUGGGUAUCAAACAGGAUUAGAUACCCGAGUAGUC
rnacentral:rRNA from 1 species